rnacentral:rRNA from 1 species
UACAGAGGGGGCCAGCGUUAUUCGGAAUUACUGGGCGUAAAGGGCGCGUAGGCGGCGCGGUAAGUCACUUGUGAAAUCUCUGAGCUUAACUCAGAACGGCCAAGUGAUACUGCAGUGCUAGAGUGCAGAAAGGGCAAUCGGAAUUCUUGGUGUAGCGGUGAAAUGCGUAGAUAUCAAGAGGAACACCUGAGGCGAAGGCGGGUUGCUAGGCUGACACUGACGCUGAGUGCGCGAAAGCCAGGGGAGCAAACGGG